CAGGAAGAUUUACUCUGGAGAAUACACCAUCUUCCUGAUCCUCUGCACGGUGCAGCCCACGCAGCCGUGGGCAGAGCUUGGAGCCAAGCCCCUGCCCUGCACGGCUCACGCUCCCGAGCGGUUUUUGAUCCCGAUCUCCUUCCAGCAGACAAACCGCCCACUUACAGUUGUUUACUCCCUGAACACAGAGUUUCAGCUCUGUAACAACGAGAAGGUUUUUCUAAUGGACCCCACCAAAUCAGAAAGGUCUCUGGCAGAAAUGGAUUACAAGGGGGCUUUUCCAAGGGGCAGAUCCUGUACGGGCGUGUGCUCUGGCACCCCGAACAAAACCUCAACGCCGCUUACAAGCUGCAGCUGGAGAAGGUCUACCUGUGCACAGGCAGGGCUGGCUACGUGCCCCUCUUCGACCCCACAGGCACCAUCUACAACCAGGGGCCCCAGUACAGCUGCAUCCAGCCCCACAAGUACCUGAAACACCGAUUCCUCCUCCUGCUGUCCGAGUUCCACUCGGUGAGCAGCAUGCCCGGAGUUGAUGGAUUUACUCUCAAGGUGGAUGCUGUCUACAAGGUAUAUAGUACCCAGUGCUUUUAGUAGCCCAAAAUGGACUUCUCUGUCCAGGACCUCCCAAACACUUGGUGAAUUGUAGACUCUGGGCCUUCAGAAUUCACCUCUGAUACAAGAAAUGAAGA